rnacentral:rRNA from 1 species
GACGAACGCUGGCGGCGUGCUUAACACAUGCAAGUCGUACGGUAAGGCCCUUUCGGGGGUACCCGAGUGGCGAACGGGUGAGUAACACGUGAGUAACCUGCCCACAACUUUGGGAUAACGCUAGGAAACUGGUGCUAAUACUGGAUAUGUGCUCCUGCUGCAUGGUGGGGGUUGGAAAGCUCCGGCGGUUGUGGAUGGACUCGCGGCCUAUCAGCUUGUUGGUGGGGUAGUGGCCUACCAAGGCGGCGACGGGUAGCCGGCCUGAGAGGGUGACCGGCCACAUUGGGACUGAGAUACGGCCCAGACUCCUACGGGAGGCAGCCGUGGGGAAUAUUGCACAAUGGGCGCAAGCCUGAUGCAGCAACGCCGCGUGCGGGAUGACGGCCUUCGGGUUGUAAACCGCGUUCAGCAGGGACGAAGCUUUUUGUGACGGUACCUGCAGAAGAAGCACCGGCUAACUACGUG